AUUAACAAUAAAAUAAUAAAUAUACUAACACGAAGGGAAGUGAGCUAAACACGCAUAUAAAUGUUAUUAUGUACGUAGUAUAGUAUAUAUAAAAUACGCGUUUAGGGGUGAUAGGCUUUUCAAGCUUUCUUAUAACUUGUUUCAUAUGAAAAGUAUCAAGUACCAAAACAGAUUUAAAAAGUUAAGCUUUUAAAUAAUUAUUAAAAAGUAUUAUAUUUCUGUAGUGUAGUGUAAAAGCUGUCUACAUAGAAACCUAACAUAAAAUAUUAGUUACUUAUAUUAUAUAAUAUGACAAUAAAAAUUCUUGAAAUAUUUGAUAAUGUUAUUAUUAGUAAUAUUAUAAUAUAUGUUAAAGGAACUCGGCAAAAGACUGCUCAACUGUUUAUCAAAAACAUAGCUAUAUGAAUUAAUAUAUAGUUAUUUCUGCUCAAUGAGUUUUAAAUAGCCGCAGUACCCUGACUGUGCAAAGGUAGCAUAAUCAGUUGGCUUUUAAUUAAAGUCUGGUAUGAACGAAAACAUGGGUAGUAACUGUCUUAACAUAUUUAUUUGAACUUAUUAAACAAGUGCAAAGGCUUGUAGACAUAUAAUAGACGAGAAGACCCUAGAAACUUGAACUAGUUUUUGUUGGGGCGACAGGAUUACAUAAAACUUAUCUUAAAAUAUAUGACAUAAUAUUGAAAAUAUAAGUUACUCUAGGGAUAACAGCAUAAUUUUAUAAGUUUGUGACCUCGAUGUUGGACUAGGUACUAUAUCCUUAAGACAAGGAUAUAUUAUGCUCUGUUCGAGCUAAAUUACCUACAUGAUCUGAGUUCAGACCGG
rnacentral:rRNA from 1 species